UCACCAUUGUGUAACAAUUUGUUAUGAAUGAGCAGCUAGAUUACCAGAAUGGACUUCUAGUAAGACUUUUAAAUUAUUGUAGAAAAUGCCGAAAAUAAAUAACUCAAGGUAAUUCAAAGAAUACUUCUGAUCCACUUUGAGAAAUACUAUAAAAAUGUAAUGUCUGCAUAUAUAGAGGCAGUUUAUAUAUAGCAUUGACAAGUUUAAAAGGCCAACAAUUAUUACAUUAAUCCUUCAAUCACUGUAUGAAUAUAAAUGAAUAUAAUUAAAAAUGAUCACAUUAAUUAUUGAAUAAUUUACUCUUAUUUUGUGAAAUAACUUAAGCAUUUAAUACAAUUAUAACAAAAUUAUAUUAGAUUCUUUGUGGUAAUUUCGAGUGUUCUCAAUUCUUUAUAAAAGAUAGGAAAUGUAAUAUUUUGUUGCAUGAUGUAAGUACGCAGGGAUUAAGGUCAAUACAAAGCUGGACAGUAGUUAACACAGAGACUCACAGUGUUACAUUCUCACAGUGCUAAGAAUGUAACAUAUCCCAAAAUGGGACAUUAAUAUGCUCUACUAACUCAAGGUUUAAGAAAUAUUAUAGAAGAGGUAGCAGAAGGAUGUAAGAGUAGCUGAAGAAUUGUUUGACAUCAUAUUUUCAGGAAAUGGUAGGUCAUUUCAUUCAUGAAUUCAAAGCAGUGGUAGUUUCCUGCUUAAGGAUCUGCAAAACUCAAAAUCCAGCACUGCUUUAGAGGGCCUCAGGUGGCCCCACACCUAGUUGAUCUGUUAGGAGUUGGUGCUAGAAGAGAAUCACUUUUUUUUUUGUUUGUUUGUUUUUAGAGGUAUGUAUGGUCACUGGUAGUCUUCCCAUGCUGCAUGGAUGACCCAUAUUUAUUUGAGUUCUCACAGUAAAAUGGUUUUGACUGAGUUUGUUAUUAAGAAGUAAAAGUUUGCUGGGGGAUUGUUCAAUGGAUAAGAGAUUUUAUUGCUCUUCCAGAAGGCUUGGAUUUGGUUCCCCUAACCCAUAUGAAAACUCACAACCAUUGUAAACAUCUAGUUUCAGAGGAUUCGAUGUCUUUUUCUGGCUUCUGCAGGCUCCUGAAUAUGUGUGGUGCACAUAAACUAACUAAACUAGCAGGUUAACAAAUACACAUACUCAUAUGCACAAAAACAAUGAAUUAAAAAUUAAGGCUAUGUGAAGUUGGAAGAGGAAUAUGUUGGGUAAGGAGUUGGGAGAGGAGAGUGGAUAUGAUCAACACACAUUGUAUACAUGAAUGAAAUUC
rnacentral:lncRNA from 1 species